GUGCCAUGGAUGAGAAGGGUCAGGAUGGCUUUUGUGGAUGCGUGCCCAAGGGAAAUUAGCCCUGCUGGCUCAGUGCGCUGAACGCGCACCCCUGAUUCUGUAAGACCCAGACAACCGGGGCACCUUUUCACUUGCGCCAAGCCUUGCCCCACGAGGCGUGAGGGCCCUCAGUGUGUGUGGCCGUGGGGCUCCACCUGUGAGUUUCAGGACCAUUUCUGGAGCUUCUAGCCUCGCUUCCAUUAUUUUUAGAUGAACAGCAUCUUCAUCAGCAGUUAACUGAGGGGCUGUUUCUCUGCUUCAGACCUCACAGCAGGCACUGGGUGCAACCUUUCUGACCCCUGCUCUUAUAACACGUAGGCUGACGUGACUGGUGAGCACCACAGGCCAAACGUCGUGGGAUGUGUCCAGGCCCAAACACCUCACUGCUGGGACAUGACUCUUCCUUUUCCGUCUGAGGAGGGUGCUGCUUCCACAUGAUGGAGCUCCCGGACGGCAGAGCCUUGGAGUCUGGUUCCUGGGCAACUGUGUGAAUAGGAUCUUCCAGCAGCCAACAGGGGACAUGUAGUGUAGUUGGAAAAAAGAUCUUCACUGUGUUAAUCAUGGGGAUUUCAGGGUUAAAGUAAUUGCAGCACACUUAGCUGUUAUGACUGAUAUAAUGGUUACAUUUAUCAACCAGCUGAAGGAAUGAAUAGCCAUAUUUAUAACUCUAAGACUUCCUAUUAAUAAUAGGGAAUUUUCUGUAAUUAGAUAAAUUUAUAAACAUCAAAGUUGUCAAGCUUUCCUCUUUUUUUUUGUUAAAAUUAUUUCUAAUUUUAUAUAUUUCUAUUGCAAUCACACACGAUCUUCUAAUAUAUUUUACCUUCCCCCUCACAUUAGCAAGUAUUUAAAAAUGCUAUAUAAAAAUACAUGUGUAGUCCAAAAUUUCUUUUGGAACAAUACAUAGAAGU